AGAGUUUGAUCCUGGCUCAGAUUGAACGCUGGCGGCAUACCUUACACAUGCAAGUCGAACGGUAACAGCACUUCGGUGGCUGACGAGUGGCGAACGGGUGAGUAAUACAUCGGAACGUGCCCGAGAGUGGGGGAUAACGCAGCGAAAGCUGUGCUAAUACCGCAUACGAUCUACGGAUGAAAGCAGGGGACCGCAAGGCCUUGCGCUCAUGGAGCGGCCGAUGGCAGAUUAGGUAGUUGGUGGGAUAAAAGCUUACCAAGCCGACGAUCUGUAGCUGGUCUGAGAGGACGACCAGCCACACUGGGACUGAGACACGGCCCAGACUCCUACGGGAGGCAGCAGUGGGGAAUUUUGGACAAUGGGCGAAAGCCUGAUCCAACCAUGCCGCGUGCAGGAUGAAGGCCUUCGGGUUGUAAACUGCUUUUGUACGGAACGAAAAGGUCUUUUCUAAUAAAGAAGGCUCA
rnacentral:rRNA from 1 species